UACGGAGGGUGCAAACGUUGCUCGGAAUUAUUGGGCGUAAAGCGCACGUAGGCGGCCGACUAAGUCGGGUGUGAAAGCCCUGGGCUCAACCCAGGAAGUGCACUCGAAACUGACCGGCUUGAAUAUGGAAGAGGGUCGCGGAAUUCCAGGUGUAGCGGUGAAAUGCGUAGAUAUCGGAAGGAACACCAGUGGCGAAAGCGGCUUCCUGGUCCAGCACCGACGUUCAGGCACGAAAGCGUGGGGAGCAAACAGG
rnacentral:rRNA from 1 species